rnacentral:rRNA from 1 species
AAUUAAAUUUAUUAAUAUAUUUUUUUUUUUUUUAUUUUUUAUAAAAAUAAUUUAUUUAUUUAAUGUUUUAGUAUUUAGUAAAAAUUAAUUUUUAGAUUUAUAGUUUAAUAGUAUUGUAAAAGAAAUUGUUAAAUUUUAUAAAGAAUUUUAUAGUACCUUUUGUAUCAGGGUUGAUUAAAAUUUUUAAUUUUUUUUUAAUUUCUCAAAAUUUAUAGAGUUAAUUUUAUUAUUAAUUUAUUGUGGUAAAAAUAUUUAUAAAAUAAUAUUAGUUUUGAAAUUUAAUUCGUUAUAUUAUAUUUAGUUAUUUAAGAUUUAAAUUUAAUUUAAAAUUUUAAAAGUUGUAUUAAUUUUAUUGAUUAAUAUUUUAAAUUUAAAUUAUUUUAGGGAUAAGCUUGAAAUUUUAAUAUAAUAAUUUAUUUAUUUUAAUAAUUUAUAGGAAUAGAAAUUUUUAUUUAAGUUUGUAAAAAUUUAUUAUUUAUUUAAUUUUAAUUUAUUAUAUUUAUAUUUAUUUUUAAUAUUAAAUUUUAUUAAUUAAUAUUUAAUUAAUAGUAAUAAUGAUUAAAUUAGUAUAAUAUAUAAAUUUAUAAAUUAUGAAUUCGGCAAAAAUUAUUUUCAUCUGUUUAACAAAAACAUUGUAUUAAGUUUAAUUUAAUAUAGGAUCUGCUCAAUGAUUUAUUAAAUAGCUGCAGUAUUUUGACUGUGCAAAGGUAGCAUAAUAAUUAGUCUUUUAAUUGAGGACUUGAAUGAAAGAUUUGAUGAGAAAUAGACUUUAUUAUUUAUAAAAUUAAAAUUUUAUUUUUAAGUAAAAAAGCUUAAAUUAUUUAAAGGGACGAUAAGACCCUAUAAAACUUUAUAAAUUUUGAUUUUAAUUUUUUUGGAUUCAUAAAUAUUUUAUAAUUAAAAUUUAUUUUAUUGGGGUGAUAAAAAAAAUUAUUAAACUUUUUUUAAAAUUUAACAUUAUUUAAUGAUUAGUUGAAUUAAAAUUUUUAAUUAAAGGAAAAAGUUACUUUAGGGAUAACAGCGUAAUUAAUUUUUUAAGUUCAAAUUUAAAAAUUAGUUUGCGACCUCGAUGUUGAAUUAAGAUUAAUCUUAGGUGCAAAAUUUUAAGUAUUAGGUCUGUUCGACCUUUAAAUUCUUACAUGAUUUGAGUUCAAACCGGUGUAAGCCAGGUUGGUUUCUAUCUUUUAUUAAUUGAAUUAUUUUAGUACGAAAGGAUUGAAUAAUUAAAUUAAAUUUUAUAUAAUGAAUUAAAAUAAUUUA